rnacentral:misc_RNA from 1 species
CUUCAACAGAUGGUUUUCAGGAUCACAAUUUUGGCAAGGAAAGCAAAGACACUGUUGAUAAUAUUAUCUUAGAUGACGCACAGCUUUAUUCUCAGGCAGCUUUUUUGGAUUCAAAUAGCGUUUCUUCUACACCUGCUUGCAAAAACUCCACGACCGACACUGCUACAGACUCCUCUGAUGUUGUAACUUUUGACCACUCAAUUGCUGAAUUUGAGAAGGAAAGCUCUGCUAGG